ensembl:lncRNA
AUCUCAUGCUGCUGCUACUGCUGCUGAGUCACUCCAGUCGUGUCCGACUCUGUGAGGCCCCAUAGACGGCAGCCCACCAGGCUCCACAGUCCCUGGGAUUCUCCAGUACUUCUAUCUAGGGCACAGUCGACUCCCAUCCUUCUGGCUGAAGCCACAAACUAAGGCUUUGGGUCCUCCAGCAUGGAGACAGACAAACAUGAAGCAGGCUCGGGCAGGAAGGAUGUCGUCCUGACUCUGGUGCUCCACGCCUGGGCUAGGGGCUCCCUCUCAGGGACACCAGCCACAGCGCCGAGACUGUAGCUCACCAGCCACUAUCCAUGGGAUUUCCCAAGCAAGAAUACCGGAGUGAGUUGCCAUUUCCUCCUUCAGGGAAUCUUCCCAAACCAGGGAUGAAACCCACAACUCGGGCUUGGCAGACAGAUUCUUUACCGCUGAGCCACUGGGAAGCCCAUGAAUGCAAACAUGAGACUUCUGGAUCAAGGCAAGAAAUGGGCAUUGAUGUAUUUCUAGGAAAGGCCUUCGUCACUCCUUGCGAGCGCACUUGUGUCUGUGUGUGUGUGACUUCAGUUCUGUGCCACCACUCUGUCCCUCCACAAGGGUCCUCCUGCUGCCCAGGGUCCCUGUUGCAC